rnacentral:tRNA from 1 species
UAAAAAGUAGUGUAGAGGGUGCACUAGAGGUUUUGAUUCUCUCAGGGUGAGUUCGAUUCUCAUUUUUUUAA